rnacentral:rRNA from 1 species
CCUACGGGAGGCAGCAGUGGGGAAUAUUGCACAAUGGGGGAAACCCUGAUGCAGCGACGCCGCGUGAGUGAAGAAGUAUCUCGGUACGUAACGCUCUAUCAGCAGGGAAGCAAAUGACGGUACCUGACUCAGCAGCCCCGGCUAACUACGUGCAAGCAGCCGCGGGAAUACGUAGGGGGUAAGCGUUAUUCGGAUUUACUGGGUGGAAAGGGAGCGUAGACGGCCGCACAAGUCUGGAGUGAAAUCCCGGGGCGUAACCCCGGAACUGCUUGGGAAACUGGGCGGCUGGAGUGCAGGAGGGGUAAGCGGAAUUCCUAGUGUAGCGGUGAAAUGCGUAGAUAUUAGGAGGAACACCGGUAGCGAAGGCGGCUUACUGGACUGUAACUGACGUUGAGGCUCGAAAGCGUGGGGAGCAAACAGGAUUAGAUACCCGAGUAGUC